CCGAUGGCGACCGGCGCACGGGUGAGUAACACGUAUCCAACCUGCCGAUAACUCGGGGAUAGCCUUUCGAAAGAAAGAUUAAUAUCCGAUAGCAUAUCAAGAUCGCAUGAUCUUGAUAUUAAAGAAUUUCGGUUAUCGAUGGGGAUGCGUUCCAUUAGUUAGUUGGCGGGGUAACGGCCCACCAAGACGACGAUGGGUAGGGGUUCUGAGAGGAAGGUCCCCCACAUUGGAACUGAGACACGGUCCAAACUCCUACGGAAGGCAGCAG
rnacentral:rRNA from 1 species